GCAUAGGGUCCCCGAGGAAUCCGGCUAGGUUUGCCUAGGCUGGGCGCUAGCGGAGCCAGUGGGGUCUUGGCGCCGCCGGUAGAACCACCUUUGGGUUGGAAGAGCGAAUGCUCAGACUUGGACAGCGUCUUGGACAUCAGAGGAGUCUCGCGGCCCUUGGGCCCCAGUUUGCCCAAACCCUUGGGUGCUUUGGCCAUAUCAUCACUCCACUCAGGCUCAUACAGCUGCAGCUUUUUCUCGGAGUCCGUGAGAAACGAGAGGUUGGUGAGCGACUUCUGUUUGCGCAGGUUGGAGGUAGGCAGCCCGCCGGGGACACGACUGUCCACGCUGCCGGACUUGAAGACCUUCAGCUCCGCUGCACUGGCCUUGGCCAUACUGCCACCGCCUCCUGCCGCCUUGGCGCGCUUGGGCAGCAUGCCUCUGCUGUCCACCGCGGCUGCCUUUCUGCUGGCUCCCCGAGGCUCGUCCGCGCCCUCGUCGCCGCCGCUGCCGCUGCCGCCGCUCAGCUCCACCUCGGGCUGCACGCUCUUGACGCUGCUGCCCAGCAUUCUGCCUGCGAGGAGCGCAUGGACGAUCCGCGCGUCUGCAGGAGGAGGAUCUUUAAUGUGGUGGUCUGGAUGACCUUUCAAGGGCUCUGGCUGCUCUGGGGUGUCCCUUCCUUAGCUUCCUCUGGGCCUCCGGUCCCCUCAAGGCCACACCCAGUGUGAAUAGAAGACAUUCAUGGCUCCUGUGUCUGUUACCUUACUCUUCAGCUACUUGUCCCAAGCUCCUUCUCUGGUGUCGUGAGGCUAGAGCUCUAUGCUGACUUCUGAGACAGGACACAGGUCAGAGCAGAAGCAUCGCUGGGGUGCUCUGUGGAUCCUGCACGGCUGCACAGCUCCCAACUGUAUCCCAAACUCCUCGAGGACAGAAGCUCUUUGCUGAUUGUGUUCAAAUUUCUAGACUCAUACCUGGCACAUAGAUACCUCAGAUGACCUCCCUCCUCUAGCCUCUUCCUCUGGACCCCUCACGGAGGCAGGCUCUGCCACGUUGGCCCUCCCAACACUUCUCCCUCAGGCACCGACCCUUCAUGGGACUCAACGUAUCUUCUUCGACAAGGUCAUAGCAUCUACGGCUGAGCAUAGGGCACCCAAAGAUGGGCGGCCUGGGUUCAAAUCCUGAAUGGACCAAGUCGGGUGAAAUCAUUUAAGUACUUUGUACUACAGUUUUCCCAUCUGUAAGGUGGGGAUGAAAAGGAUAACACUUUGCUUUAUAAUAAAUAAUAUUGGGCAUACAUUGAAUAAUUACUAUGUACCGGGUUCUCUUCUAAGCACUUUACCUACAUGGAAGUGCUUAAUUUCCACUAACCUGUAGGGGAAGGUUUAUUUAUUUACUCACUCAUUUCUUUAAUACUGUUUUUUAGAAACACAGUCUCCUAUAGCCCAGGCUGGCCUUGAACUCACUCUUUAGGCAAGGAUGACCUUGAACUCCCAAAUCUUCCUGCCUCCACCCCCUAUGUACUAGGAUUACAGGUGUGAGCCACCAUGUCCAGCUGCAAAAGCUAUCUUUAUUGCACCCCAGAAACAACCAAAGUAAAGGAGGCACAGAGAGAUUUUCUUCUCCAAUGCUGUGCCACUGGCCAGUGGUGAGCUCAAAGGAAAGCCUCGGAGUUAGGCUCCAGCCCUCAUGCUGGAUUGGGCCGACUAAAUGUGCUUUAACAACGCUUGCCCUACAGAAAGCCACAGUGUCAGCUGCUGCUACAAGUGUUAUUGCCCUCCACCCCAACUCCUAGAGGCCUCCUUGGUCCCAGAUGGCUGUAGUGUUUACAUAAGACGGGUCUUCUGAGCUCUGUCACACAGUGGUUUCCUCCUCUGCCCCACUAGAGUCACAGCACAUAGCAUCCACUCCAAACUCACUCUGUUUUCUGGUCAAUUGUGUGCAUGUCUCACUCCACGGAUGGCUGGGGCAUCAAGCUUAUCUUGGCCCAGAAGUCCCCAGAGGACAGGGAACACAGCCGUGUGAACUCAGCAUGAAAUGACAUGGACCCAGAAUGACAGAGGUGCCAGCAACAUCCUGACCCACUGGGGUGGAGGAAAAUGGUGGUAAAGACCCUGUACCUCCCCAUGCUUACGAGCUGGAAGAGCAAAACCUGAGCUGGAAGAGCAAACCUGGUUUGCAUGCUACAGACUGCUCAGUCUGAGUUCCUUGCUCAUCAAACACAGCGAAUUCACCAACAGGCAGUGGCUUAAAGGCCCCCAUCUCCCACAGGCUGGUAUUAAAAUAUAGACAACAACUAGGAGGUAGCUAUGUGGGAUGUGCUCCAAGGUACCCUAUUUUCCUUCCACAAAAAGUGUCAACGAUGUGGACCCUGCUGCAGCAUGGUUUAUGUAUGCCCAGUGCAGCCUUUGUCAAUCGGUACACCGGCAGGACACUGGGUGAGACACUGGGGACACAGAUACUCCAAAAGAGUUUGCAGAUUGAACCCCUAAACUGUAAACUCCUUGAAAGCAGGUUAAAGUCUCACUUGCUUUCUACAGCGUCAGCAAGUGUCUGACAAAGAAAAUGCUCACUGGACACUUGCUGACACAGAGAGUGACUCAGGACAUGUCCCGCUUGAGUUCUGAAGUAAAAGAGCAAAACAAA
rnacentral:lncRNA from 1 species